GGUAUAUUUAAAUAAUGAUGUAUUUUUCGUUUCAAUUCUGUUGCAUUCAAAUACAUAGUGAUUUUCAAAUUCUCACUACAUAUCUGUUCCAAUGAGUGAUGUGACAGAAUAAUGGGACUAAAUUGUACAAUGUUAUUGAAAGCUGUAAUGAAUAGAGCAAACGUUUUGCAUUAUAUUUUGCAAUCUUUAAGAUGGGACCCAAUACUCAAUUUCAUUUGCUGGAACAAGAUGUUCAAAUUCUACAGCAGAGUUCCCGGCUGUGGAUCUGUGGUUCAACACAAUGUGGGGCAGCUCUGCAGACCAAACUUUUUCAAACCUAUUCUUGUGGUUACAGUGAAAGCAAGUAGCUGCAUGAUCACAAGUGGAAUAUAAUUGGUUUGGUAUAUUUGAUCAUGUUACAUGUAUUAACCAAUGAUAUCCCUAAACCCUUGCCUGUUAAAGGCAAAGUUCUGAAAUAUUACUGAUUUACAUCAUUAUAAAGCAUCCAGAGUUGCACUGUGCAAAUCCUGUUAAAGCAUGAGGAAACCAAAAAAACUAUAGCUAAACCCAUUUCAAAACACAGAUGUAUGCUUUUAAUUAAU